rnacentral:lncRNA from 1 species
GAGCUUUGAAGGUCUGACGUACACAUCGACAUAAUAUAAAAAGAACACACGAGUUGACCAAAGUUGUAUAGCAAACUAUUCACACAACUAAACACUGACAAUGAAGUUCGUUAUUUUGUGCUUGGCUCUUUGUGUCGGUAAGAUAACUUUUAUAUUCCUUAUUUAUUUUAUUUCGAACAUUUUCAGUCAUUGAUAAUAUCAGUAUAAUGAAACUUGUAUUUCAAAUUAAAAUACACUUUUUGUUUUUUCAUGUUUUCAUUGAUUGUUUUCUUUGUGUUUAAUUUCAAUGUUGCGAAAUUAUUAAGUACAACAAUAUAUUACGGGGAACUAUGUGACUCUGGACCUGUAAAAAUAGGGAAAACAAAACAACUCUUGAACAAUUAAUGCGCACAGAACAUAGAUUAUUACAAAUGGUGUACGCAAAUGUUCUUGAUGUAUAAACACCAAACCCGCGAUAAUAUGUCACCAAUGCGCGAGGGUGACCGUAAAGCCAGUGCAGGGUUAAUUUCAGUCAACAAUGUUGUUGUUUAUGCUUAAAGACCACACCACUGUUAAUGAUAGAGAUAGAAAUAAAUUACUUUGAAAGGAAAAAUUCUAGAUCAAUCAUUCCUAUCUUUUACAUUAUAAAACGCAAAUUAUAAACGAAAAUAACAUUUUAUCAACGUAGUGCGUCUGAAGCACGUUUCUGAAUAAAUGUUUACCAAGAACGAACAAACAUAAAUAAACAUUAGUAGCUGUAGAUGACCAAACUAUCAUUUGUGAGAAUUGUAAUGUAUGUUGUUGAUAAAGCUUUGCCAAAUUUCACAAUUUAUUAAUAAUUUCAAAUCUAACAAAUCUUUCUAAAUGUGCCUCUAAUUUUUGUAGACAUAUGAAAAAACUUUUGUCGAGGACUUUAGAAAGCCAUUACUUAUGUUAUCAUAAUCUCAUAUAUGCACAAUUUAUAUCUGUUUUGACAACAAAAUACACGGCAACGCCAUUUACAAAUGUUUUUUAUUUGAAAUAUUGCUUUUAUGUUUGCUAGUAUUAAUGAUAUACAUGUAAAAUAAAAGAUGCACGUUUAACUAUGUAUUACCAUUAUAAUAUUGUAAUUUGUAUUUACAGCCGUAAUGGGAGAACAGUGCCGUCAAACGAAUGACUGCCGUGUUACAAUGUGUGCUACCAAUGCCAAUCUAGUGUGUUUGCAUGGCGAAUGUACUUGCACAACAACAAGUGGAGCCAGUAAGUGUUAAUGUCUAGUUAUUGUAUAUAUAUUGUAUUGCUUUAUUUCCAAACACAACUGACUACUAAAUCUUAGUGAAAUAUUAUCUUAGGGAAAUAUAAAAGGUAACACAUAUAUAAAUGUACAACUGUAUAUUCUUUCUGAAGUUUAAAAGGUCCGGUGAAUAUAAAGUAAACACUAAUUUUUAAAAAUCUAAAAAUGAUUUAGAGAUUUGGUUUGCUGUGUCAUUAAACUCUCGACCAUAUCGUCGUUGAUUGUAUGGCUAAAAUUAUAACUUCUCCAAUAUCCAAUUGAAGAACAAAUGUCAUGCACACGGCCAUGUUAUUCUGUGACCGUGUAUGACGUUUUUGACUAAAAUUCAUUGGAUGUUGGAUGUGUACUGAUUGAUAAUUUAGUCUUUGAUCAAUGAUUUUUUUAAGUUGUUAGUGGCUUUAAACUAGUUGUCAGUACAUGUAAUUGCGACAACUCUCAGAUCUAUACUUAUUGUCUUUUUUGUUGGGAUAUACAAGUACCGGGCCACGUUUACUUUGUGUUUUUGUUAUAUGUAUUUCUAUUAUCAAUCUGAUAAUUUUUUUCAACUGAUUUUUAUAGUUAGUUCUUAUGGUGCACUGUCAAUGACUGUUGCACUCCUGUCCCAGGUUAGGUGGAGGAUGAGUAUUCUGCUGACAUAAUUAAACCCGCAAAAUUCUGUAUGUGUGUGCCUGUCCAAGGUCAAGAGACUGUAAUUCAGUGGUUGUCGUAUGUUGGUGUAUAACAUAUUUGUUUUUCGUUUAUUAUAUUGUACAUAAAGUAAGGUUUCUCGUUUGAUUUGUUUUAUAUUGGUCAUUUCGGGGCCUUUUAUAGCUGACAAUUCGGUAAUUAUUUAAUUCGGUGACUUGUGAGAGGUUAUCUCAUAGGCAAGCAUACCGUAUCUUAUCUUACCACUGCAGAUUCAUUUGAUUAGAAAUACUUACAUAAAAAAGACUAACCUUAUACAUAUAAAAAGAUGUGAUACGAUUAACAAUGCCAAAUGCCUAAUUAACAACUCUCGACAAAGGAACCAAAUACAACAAAAAUAAUCAACUGAAGGUCCCCGUAUGGCCUUCAACAAUGAGCAAACCUCAUACUACAUACUCAGCUAUAAAAUGCUAAGUUCUAAAUCUUUUAUUCAACACAUUUUAAAGUUAAUGGUACAUAUGCAUUGUAUUUAGACUAUUAUUCAUAUUUGGAUUAAUAGUUGCGCACUCAUUCUCUUCGUUCUUUUUUCUAAAUUUUGUUUUAUUUUAAAUGUUUGAAUAAACUAACUUAGGCUAUUGAAAACAAUGAUACAAAUAUAAAUGGUAUAUAAUGAUAUAAUUUUGUUUCAUUUCAGCCUGCACGACCGCCGACGAAUGCCGUCACGAUUGUCAUGAUAGAAAUGCCCACUGUGUCGACGGAAGGUGUCACUGCAGAAACUAAUAAACAAAAUAAUGAAUUUUGUACCAUUUUAUUCAAUUGUUGGCUUUUCUUUGGCAUAAGUGUAAAAAUAAAACUUUUAUUUGUG